rnacentral:rRNA from 1 species
AAUGAACGCUGGCGGCAGGCCUAACACAUGCAAGUCGGACGAGGCAGCAAUGCCUAGUGGCGGACGGGUGAGUAACGCGUGGGAACGUGCCCCUUUCUACGGAAUAGCCUCGGGAAACUGGGAGUAAUACCGUAUAAGCUCGCAAGAGGAAAGAUUUAUCGGGAAGGGAUCGGCCCGCGUUGGAUUAGGUAGUUGGUGGGGUAAUGGCCUACCAAGCCGACGAUCCAUAGCUGGUUUGAGAGGAUGAUCGGCCACACUGGGACUGAGACACGGCCCAGACUCCUACGGGAGGCAGCAGUGGGGAAUCUUAGACAAUGGGGGAAACCCUGAUCUAGCCAUGCCGCGUGAUCGAUGAAGGCCUUAGGGUUGUAAAGAUCUUUCAGUGGGGAAGAUAAUGACGGUACCCACAGAAGAAGCCCCGGCUAACUCCGUGCCAGCAGCCGCGGUAA